AAAAAGGUAAGCUAAUCAAGCUAAUGGGUUCAUACCCCCUUAAUAAAGGUAUCAGUCCUUUUCUUUUUA
rnacentral:tRNA from 1 species